rnacentral:tRNA from 1 species
GGGAGUGUAGCUCAGUGGUAGAGCACAUGCUUGGCAUUCAUGAGGCCUGGGUUCAAAGCCUCCCCCCCGCCCA